rnacentral:rRNA from 1 species
AUACGUAGGGGGCGAGCGUUGUCCGGAAUGAUUGGGCGUAAAGGGCGCGUAGGCGGCCCGGUAAGUCUGGAGUGAAAGUCCUGUUUUUAAGAUGGGAAUUGCUUUGGAUACUGUCGGGCUUGAGUGCAGGAGAGGUAAGUGGAAUUCCCAGUGUAGCGGUGAAAUGCGUAGAGAUUGGGAGGAACACCAGUGGCGAAGGCGACUUACUGGACUGUAACUGACGCUGAGGCGCGAAAGUGUGGGGAGCAAACAGGAUUAGAUACCCUGGUAGUCCACACUGUAAACGAUGAAUGCUAGGUGUUGGGCAGCAAUGCUCAGUGCCGAAGUAAACACAAUAAGCACUCCGCCUGGGGAGUACGUACGCAAGUAUGAAACUCAAGGAAUUGGCGGG